rnacentral:lncRNA from 1 species
GUUGUCAUGGUUUUGUAACUUCGCUAUUGGUAUUCCACAUCAUAACAUCAUGGACAAAAGAGAAGAACUACGUAUCCCAGAGGACCUCACGGUCAGAGAAGGAAGACACAUCACGGAAGAUACGUCAUCUGGUUGCGCGCGGUGCUUCUUCACUUUCGCUUGCUGCCGGGAGAGGAGUGGGUGUGCUUUCCAAGCCGGGCGCCUUCAUCAAGGUUUUCAAGGGAUACUGAUGCACACGAAACAUGAGGGAACGGGUAGAAUGGAGGAAGAGGGUCAAAAGUCAAAAGUCAGUUAAGUCUAAAAACUACUCUUGACAUCUGGCUAUGGCAUGAGAAGUUGUAUCACUGUCUACUUCAGUAGGCCACCUGUUCAAGCUGUAUCUGCCUUGCAUGCCCUUUGGCCAGUGAGAAAGAACUACCAAUGCAAAUGUUUUCCCUGCAGUGCAGGAGGAGCUGUGAAGAUGAAAGAAGCACAUUCUUUCCUCACAGUGGAAAUGCAUUAAUAAACCUUCACAAUGGAUGAACAGCAGCAGUGAGGGUACCAACCUUUGAAGAUACUGCUUUUGUCCAGGGGGAGUAAAAUGUGUCCUAAAUAAUAAUAAUAAUAAAUAUAGAGUUAUGUAUGUGUUCUUAAAAUAAGAGUCAAAAUUAUUGGGAAUUAACUUUCUAAAUAACUAAUAUAUUCUGUUACUCAGAAAAUCUGCCCACCAGGAACUACAGGAGUGGAAUAAUUCUAUGAGUCUCACCUGUGUGUAUACUCUUUGCUGACUGCUGCUACCACAGCCUGCGUCUUGAUCCACUGCAAACUGACAGUGGCA